rfam:Nicotiana sylvestris Nsyl_contig390740, whole genome shotgun sequence.
CAAUCGGUCCUUUUCAGGACCACAAAAUAAUUAAAAAUAGAGAUUAU